CCUACGGGAGGCAGCAGUGAGGAAUAUUGGGCAAUGGACGCAAGUCUGAACCAGCAACGCCGCGUGAAUGAUGACGGUCUUCUGAGUGGUAAGCUGUUUUCGUAGGAAGGAAGACAGUGACGGUACCUUAGGACUAAGCCUAUGCUACCUACGGGCCAGCGGCAGCGGCAUUACGGAGGACGCAAGCGUUAUCCGGAAUCAAUGGGUGUAAAGGGUGCGUAGGUGGUUGGACAAGUUAGUAGGGAAACUCAGAUGCUCAACUUCGGAAUUGCUACUAAUACUGUUUGACUUGAGAGUAGUUGCGGGAAUCGGAAUGUAUGGUGUAGCGGUGAAAUGCUUAGAGAUUAGGCAGAACACCAGUGGCGAAGGCGGAUUACUAGACUAUAACUGACGCUGAGGCACGAAAGCGUGGGGAGCAAACAGGAUUAGAUACCCGAGUAGUC
rnacentral:rRNA from 1 species